UGCCCAGUAACUCCUAUCGCUACCUCCAAGUGGCACUGGCCGAACUGCGAACAACAUUAGGGAUAUCCGAACCCCGGUGGGAACUUUGGUCGUAGGCCGACAGGGAAGG
rnacentral:ribozyme from 1 species